UGAGGAAUAUUGGUCAAUGGGCGAGAGCCUGAACCAGCCAAGUAGCGUGCAGGAAGACGGCCCUAUGGGUUGUAAACUGCUUUCAUGUGGGGAUAAAGUGCGUGACGUGUCAUGCAUUGCAGGUACCACAUGAAUAAGGCCCGGCUAAUUCCGUGCCAGCAGCCGUGGUUAUACGGGGGAUGCGAGCGUUAUCCGGAAUUAUUUGGUUUAAAGGGUGCGCAGGUGGCUAAUCAGGUCAGUGGUGAAAAGCUAUGGCUCAACCAUGGUCUUGCCAUUGAAACCGUAUAGCUAGAGAGGAGACGAGGUAGGCGGAAUGUGUGGUGUAGCGGUGAAAUGCAUAGAUAACACACAGAACUCCGAGUGCGAAGGCAGCUUACCAGGAUUUAUCUGACACUUAAGAACGUCAGCGAGGGGAUCAAACGGG
rnacentral:rRNA from 1 species